rnacentral:lncRNA from 9 species
AUUGAUGCAGCCUACGUCUAUGAAAACGAGGAGGAGGUGGGCAGCGCCCUGCGGGAGAAGAUCGCGGAUGGCACGGUGAAGAGGGAGGAGCUGUUCUACACCACCAAGGGUGGAAGAGAGCAACCCAUAUCUCUUAGAGGAUCCAGUCUUAAAUGCUAUUGCCAAGAAACACAACAGAAGCCCAGCGCAGGUUGCCCUGCGCUACCAGCUGCAGCGGGGAGUGGUGGUCCUGGCCAAGAGCUUCAAUGAGCAGAGGAUCAAAGAGAACUUCCAGGUACAGGACAAGCAGUGCCUCUGCAGGGAGCUGCUCUGGGUGCCUUCCAGCACAUGCCCAUGCUCGUCCAUUCCCUUGUCUCUCUCCUCUGAGUGCCAUGUGGCAGGGAGAUUGCUGGCUUCAGGGUCCCAGGUUUGACAUUCUUGCAGCUUGGCUUUGCCACUUCCUAGUUGUGUGACGCUGAUCUCACUUCAUCUCUGUUUUUUCAUGGGUUUUAAGAGUCCCUCCAGCAGUAAGGAACUUGUAAAACCCUAGUCCUCUCCUUUGCCUGCUCUAUUUGUAUUUCAAUAUCAGAUCCAAAGAGGAUUAGCUGCUUUGUUAAACCAUCAGGACACCCCAACAGAGCUGCUGACCACCACGGCACUUGGCAAGGCUCUGUUAGUGAGAGUUUCCCCUUACUGAGCUAAAGGUGCUGUUUAUAUGUCAGGAUGCUCUCUGGACUGUGAGGCUCUCAAUGUAGCACCUUUCUCAUGGGAGACCUCUAGGCAGGUGAGAAGUAGAUAUAAGUUUAUAGGGAGACCAAGGUAAAUUAACCGUGGAGCUUUUCCCUACAUCCUCCUUUAUAUACUUCCGGGUCCCUUAGGCCAGUCAGUGGUCUUCAGCUUGCUUCGUUCUGACCUUUAUGGGAUGAGGACAAACUAUCUAAACUCUAUACCUUUUAAAGAUGACAGCUAAAAAUUUCAUCAUGCGUUUAGUAUUUGCAAAAGCUAACAUUUGGGGCAUGUCAUUGGUAAUGUAUUUGCUUCAAAACCAUGAAGCUGUAGAUUUGGUUCAUUCAAUAUAUGAAAAUAUUGAGGAGGCAAAUCUGAACCUCAUUGUUAAACCAAUCAGUUAAAAAUUCCAUUUGAAGUGAUUUUUCAAUUCAACUCAACAUGUUAAUACAUAUUCCCAAGACAAACAUAUCACUUCUGGAGUAAUGUUAAGAUGAAUGACAAGUAGAUAGAUAGAAGGGGGUGGGGAAAGAGAGAGAGAAAUAAAUAGAUAAAGGCACUAAGUUUUCCAUGAAAUUGCCCCCCGGAUCAAAUAAUAAGACUUCUUUAAUACAUCUUACCAAAGAUCUGUCUGUAUUGCUAAUGGACUCUCCAUUAGGGGCAAUGUACUGCCAAAUAAAAACAGACUGGGGGAGUUCCCAUCGUGGCUCAGUGGUAACAACCCGACUAGGAUCUAUGAGGGUUCAGGGCAAUCCCUGGCCUCGCGAAGUGGGUUACGGAUCCGGCGCUGCCGUGAGCUGUGGCGGAGAUCUCAGACAUGACCAGAUCCCUCGUUGCUGUGGCUGUGGUGUUGGCUGUGGCUACAGCUCUGAUUCUACCCCUAGCCUGGGAACCUCCAUAUCCAUGGACAAUCCAUCCAUCCAUCAAUCAGUCAAUCAAUCAAUCAAUCAAAAAAACCUGGAAGUAAGUAGGAGAGAUUUUAUUCAAAAGGGAGAACACUUGGAGGUCCUAUCCUGGCUCAGUGGUUAACGAAUCCGACUAGGAACCAUGGGGUUGUAGGUUCAACCCCGGUCUCCCUCAGUGGGUUAAGGAUCCAUCGUUGCCGUGAGCUGUGGUGUAGGUCGCAGAUGUGGCUGGAUCCCGCGUUGCUGUGGCUCUGGUGUAGGUCGGCGGCUACAGCUCCAAUUAGACCUCUAGCCUGGGAACCUCCAUAUACCACGGGAGCAGCCCUAGAAAAGGCAAAAAGACAAAAAAAAAAAAAAAAAAAAA